rnacentral:tRNA from 1 species
CGGGCUGUAGCCCAGUGGUAGAGCACUCACCUAGCACGUGUGAGGCACUGGGUUCGAUUCUCAGCACCACAU